GGGUGUGGCUAUGUACAUCCAUUAAGGUCUAUUGAUUCUUUCACAGGCCAACGAGAGAUCCACUGUUUAUCUAAUGAUGUAUUAUUGGAAAGAUCCACUAGAUUAGGGAGUCAUCAAGUGGUUUUUCCCCAUUGGGCCCAGUACUUGAAAGGUUUUAAAUGACUUUACAAAGGCUUUUAACCAUUGAUUUUUUUUCAAUUGAAAGUAUAUUUGUAUUUCUUUGUGUGGGUGCAUAUAUAGUAUGCUUACUCCACUGGUGUACCAUCCUUUUAUAUCAAUAUAUGUUAGAGGGGUGUUCUAAAGAAUAUCACUAUACAAAAACCCUAACCUCUUUCCUCUCUUUUUCUUCCAAUCAUCUCGUUCUUCUACAAACUUCAUCUACUUGGUAUCAGAUCUAUCCCUAUUUGAUCGAGAGUUUGAUUGGAGCUAUCGGCGACUACUGACGUCAGGGUCCGUACGGCUGGCAUCAGCAACUGUACUAUCCGUACAGACUUGUGGUCCAAGAAGGUUAUGGGUUGAUAGAUAUUGAUUUUAGAAGAUUUAUGGUGAUUUUUGUGUAUUUUCUAAAAUUGUUUAAGGCGUGCUUCGAGCCCCACAAGAUAUGUUCCGAAAAUGACCCCAUUUUGAGAUUUUGUCAUUUCUCCCAAUCGAAGGGAUUUUCCUAAGGAAUCUCUCUAUACGGUUGGUUGGAUUCACUGUUAUUAACCAUUCAUACAUGAGUUUUACUCAAUCAUCAGAGUUUUAGCAAGUUUGUGGGGUCUUUCAUGUGCGGUUCCACUUUUUUGGGCCAUUUUUGAAGGAAAAUUAUGGGGGUUUCAUUGUUUUGUGGGAUUCUAUGUGCCUAGCAUACAUCAACCUGGUUUUGCUCUUUAUUGAGAUUCAGGUCUGUUAUAUGAGGGUUUCGGAUUUAUAAGUGUUCGGGUCAUCGACUACACACAGGGAGUAGUUGGGUGUAUAUGAUGUCCUGUUGUGGAUUGCUUGAUUGAUUUCCAUUUAUACAUAUGGUCAUUAUCAGUCUUCUCUAUUACUCUAAUAUAGAUGAUAAGCUCCCUUUUGGAGCUAUUAUGGGGCCCUCCGAGUCUCACACCAUGUUGACCACCACAGUCAAAUUGAAUAAGAAUUAUUAUCUACGAAGGGCCCAAUCAGUCAAGCUAUUUCUAGGUGGAAGAGAAAAACUUUCGUAUAUCUUGGAUGACCCUCCUGACUCUACAGAUCAAUAUUUCAAAACCUAAAACAGAGAAAAUUACUAGGUCAUGGCUUGGCUUCUAAACAGCAUGUGGGCUACAAUUAACAACUAUGUUAUGUUUGAUUGACAUCAACUAAAAAGAUAUGGGAUACUAUCCAGGACAUGCAUUCAAAAGAUACCAAUAUAUCCAAAGUGCAUAAGCUGGUCUCAGACAUAUGUAAGCUUCAAUAGGAUGCUAGAAGCUUCAAGGAGUCUUUCACUAUUUUACGUGGUAUGUGGAAUAAGCUAGAUAUGUACCAUCCUUUUCCUUCUCAUGGUACUCAAGACCAUGAGCUCAUUUGGCAACAACGUGAAGAGAUUCAAAUUACGCAAUUCCUUUCCAGAAUGAAUCUAGAAUACUAAAGUGUACAUCGUCAUAUCUUGGCUAUGGAGCCCCUUCCUUCACUUCCAGUGGUCUAUGCUCUUGUUCAAAGAGUUGAUUUCCUGUCUCCUACUAUUCCUGUGGUCACUGACAGAUCCACCUAUAUGACUAUAGACCAUCCUUCUCCUAGUUCUAGUUCUAGGGCUUCUAGUUAGAGCUCUCUGAGCAGUAGUCAUUCUCCUAAUUAUGGUGGUUGAGGCAGGGGUCGAGCUCGUGAUAGAUGUGGUCGUGGUAUCCGCACCUUUGGUGGAUGUGGCUGUGGGCAUGAUGGUCCUCCUCGUUUUUGCACCCAUUGUGGUGGUACUAAUCAUAUAAUUGAUCGAUGUUGGGAUAUUGUUGGCUGACCUAGGUGCUUGUAUGACUAGUACAAUGUCUUUCGAUUCUGAGAAGACUUAUUCGGUGCCUUUAGCAUUAUCUUACAGUAUGUCUACUUUAAGCGACUCUGUCACUAUAUCCAGAGAAGCGUACGAUGCUUUGAUGCAGUGUCAUAAUCGAUACGUGAGUUCUACUUCCAACUCUAGCUUGACCCAGUCAGGUAUUGCCCUCCAUGUGUCCUCUUUGUCUCCCUCCUGGGUUAUUGACUCUGGGGCUACAUCUCACAUGACCAGAGCUGCAGAUGAAGCAGGUGAUUGGUGGGGGCUAUAAAUGUGUUGGGGUUUACUUUCUCAAUGAUACUGACCUAUGGGCCUUUUUCUCUUUAGAUAAAGACUCUAUAUCCAGAUGGCAUUGUCAUUUAGGACAUCCAUCUUUAUCCAAGAUAAAACUUAUCUUUCAUUUUAUUAAUGUUUUUAAACUAUUAUGUUGUGAUACUCAUGUAUUUUCUAAACA